UACGUAGGGGGCGAGCGUUAUCCGGAUUCAUUGGGCGUAAAGCGCGCGUAGGCGGCCUGUUAGGUCGGGGGUCAAAUACCGGGGCUCAACCCCGGUCCGCCCCCGAUACCGGCAGGCUUGAGUCUGGUAGGGGAAGGCGGAAUUCCCAGUGUAGCGGUGGAAUGCGCAGAUAUCGCGCAGAACCCCGAUUGCGAAGGCAGCCUGCCGGCCCCACACUGACGCUGAGGCACGAAAGCGUGGGUAUCGAACAGG
rnacentral:rRNA from 1 species